rnacentral:rRNA from 1 species
UGGGGGAUAUUGCACAAUGGGCGAAAGCCUGAUGCAGCAACGCCGCGUGAGGGAAGACGGUCUUCGGAUUGUAAACCUUUAGCUUUGGGGAAGAAAAAAAUGACGGUACCCAAAGGGGCAGCCACGGCUAACUACGUGCCAGCAGCCGCGGUAAUACGUAGGUGGCAAGCGUUGUCCGGAAUUACUGGGUGUAAAGGGAGCGCAGGCGGGGAGGCAAGUCAGCUGUGAAAUACAUGGGCUUAACCCAUGAAUUGCAGUUGAAACUGUCUUUCUUGAGUGGAGUAGAGGUAGGCGGAAUUCCGAGUGUAGCGGUGAAAUGCGUAGAUAUUCGGAGGAACACCAGUGGCGAAGGCGGCCUACUGGGCUCUAACUGACGCUGAGGCUCGAAAGUGUGGGGAGCAAACA